rnacentral:piRNA from 1 species
UGCAAGGAAAGGCCAAGACGAUGAAGU